rnacentral:rRNA from 1 species
GAUGAACGCUAGCUACAGGCUUAACACAUGCAAGUCGAGGGGCAGCAUGUUGGUUGCUUGCAACCAAUGAUGGCGACCGGCGCACGGGUGAGUAACGCGUAUCCAACCUACCCAAUACUCAGGCAUAACCCGUUGAAAGACGGACUAAUUCCUGAUGGUAUGUAUUUUUCUCAUGAAUUAUACAUUAAAGAAUUUCGGUAUUGGAUGGGGAUGCGUCUGAUUAGUUUGUUGGUGAGGUAACGGCUCACCAAGACUUCGAUCAGUAGGGGUUCUGAGAGGAAGGUCCCCCACAUUGGAACUGAGACACGGUCCAAACUCCUACGGGAGGCAGCAGUGAGGAAUAUUGGUCAAUGGAUGCAAAUCUGAACCAGCCAAGUAGCGUGCAGGAUGACGGCCCUAUGGGUUGUAAACUGCUUUUAUGUGAGAAUAAAGUUAGGUAUGUAUACUUAUUUGCAUGUAUCACAUGAAUAAGGACCGGCUAAUUCCGUGCCAGCAGCCGCGGUAAUACGGAAGGUCCAGGCGUUAUCCGGAUUUAUUGGGUUUAAAGGGUGCGUAGGCCGUUUGAUAAGCGUGCUGUGAAAUAUAGUGGCUCAACCUCUAUCGUGCAGCGCGAACUGUUGAACUUGAGUGCGUAGUGGUAGGCGGAAUUCGUGGUGUAGCGGUGAAAUGCUUAGAUAUCACGAAGAACUCCGAUUGCGAAGGCUGCUUACCGCAACGUUACUGACGCUUAAGCACGAAGGUGCGGGUAUCGAACAGGAUUAUAUACCCUGGUAGUCCAAGGGCGAAUUCCACAGUGGAUAUCAGGCUUAUCGAUACCGUCGACCUCGGGGGGGGGGCCGAGUACCCAGCUUUUUGUUCCUUUAAUGAAUGGUUUAAUUAAGGUGUUGUGUUGUCAUAUGUUGGUGUUGUGAUUGCUGCUGCGUUGUGUUGUUGUGUGUGUGUGGGUCUGCCAUUUGUGUGUGUUACUGUGUGCGGUUGUCGGAUGUGGUUGUGCUGGUGUGUGAUUGUU